rnacentral:lncRNA from 1 species
AUGCACAUCCGGGGAAAAUCUUUGAAGAGGCGUUGUUGUGUUAAAAGGACAGAACCACUGAUAGAUGAUGUGGCCUCUGGUCUUCAGACACGAACUGGGAAUUUCCAAUGUAUGGAUCACAAUAAACUGUGGAAAAUUCUGAAAGAGAUGGGAAUACCAGACCACCUGACCUGCCUCUUGAGAAAUCUGUAUGCAGGCCAGGAAGCAACAGUUAGAACUGGACAUGGAACAACAGACUCGUUCCAAAUAGGAAAAGGAGUGUGUCAAGACUGUAUAUUGUCACCCUGCUUAUUUAACUUCUAUGCAGAGUACAUCAUGAGAAACACUGGACUGGAAGAAACACAAGCUGGAAUCAAGAUUGCUGGGAGAAAUAUCAAUAACCUCAGAUAUGCAGAUGACACCACCCUUAUGGCAGAAAGUGAAGAGGAACUAAAAAGCCUCUUGAAAGUAAAAGAGGAGAGUGAAAAAGUUGGCUUAAAGCUCAAUAUUCAGAAAACGAAGAUCAUGGCAUCUGGUCCCAUCACUUCAUGGGAAAUAGAUGGGGAAACAGUGUCAGACUUUAUUUUGGGGGGCUCCAAAAUCACUGCAGAUGGUGAUUGCAGCCAUGAAAUUAAAAGACGCUUACUCCUUGGAAGAAAAGUUAUGACCAACCUAGAUAACAUAUUCAAAAGCAGAGACAUUACUUUGCCGACUAAGGUCUGUCUAGGCAAGGCUAUGGUUUUUCCAGUAGUCAUGUAUGGAUGUGAGAGUUGGACUGUGAAGAAGGCUGAGCACCAAAGAAUUGAUGCUUUUGAACUGUGGUGUUGGAGAAGACUCUUGAGAGUCCCUUGGACUGCAAGGAGAUCCAACCAGUCCAUUCUGAAGGAGAUCAACCCUGGGAUUUCUUUGGAAGGAAUGAUGCUAAAGCUGAAACUCCAGUACUUUGGCCACCUCAUGCGAAGAGUUGACUCAUUGGAAAAGACUUUGAUGCUGGGAGGGAUUGGGGGCAGGAGGAGAAGGGGACGACAGAGGAUGAGAUGGCUGGAUGGCAUCACUGACUCGAUGGAUGCAAGUCUGCGUGAACUCCGGGAGUUUGUGAUGGACAGGGAGGCCUGGCAUGCUGCAAUUCAUGGGGUUGGAAAGAGUCAGACACGACUGAGCGACUGA